UACGUAGGGUGCGAGCGUUAAUCGGAAUUACUGGGCGUAAAGCGUGCGCAGGCGGUUUUGUAAGCCAGAUGUGAAAUCCCCCGGGCUUAACCUGGGAAUGGCAUUUGGGACUGCAAGGCUGGAGUGCGGCAGAGGAGACUGGAAUUCCUGGUGUAGCAGUGAAAAUGCGUAGAUAUCAGGAGGAAUACCGAUGGCGAAGGCAGGUCUCUGGGCUGACACUGACGCUCAUGCACGAAAGCGUGGGGAGCAAACAAGG
rnacentral:rRNA from 1 species